rnacentral:rRNA from 1 species
CAGUCGCCACGGGAAUACAGAGGGUGCGAGCGUUAAUCGGAUUUACUGGGCGUAAAGCGUGCGUAGGCGGCUUCUUAAGUCGGAUGUGAAAUCCCUGAGCUUAACUUAGGAAUUGCAUUCGAUACUGGGAAGCUAGAGUAUGGGAGAGGAUGGUAGAAUUCCAGGUGUAGCGGUGAAAUGCGUAGAGAUCUGGAGGAAUACCGAUGGCGAAGGCAGCCAUCUGGCCUAAUACUGACGCUGAGGUACGAAAGCAUGGGGAGCAAACAGGAUUAGAUCCCGGUAGUCCCUGUCUCUUAUACAC